GAUGAAGAACGUAGCGAAAUGCGAUAAGUAAUGCGAAUUGCAGAAUUUCCGUGAAUCAUCGAGUCUUUGAACGCACAUUGCGCCCCCUGGUAUUCCGGGGGGCAUGCCUGUCCGAGCGUCAUUGCUGCCCAUCAAGCACGGCUUGUGUGUUGGGUCCUCGUCCCCCCCGGGGGACGUGCCCGAAAGGCAGCGGCGGCACCGCGUCCGGUCCUCGAGCGUAUGGGGCUUUGUCACCCGCUCUGCAGGCCCGGCCGGCGCUGGCCGACGCGAAAGCAACCAUUUUUUCUCCAGGUUGACCUCGGAUCAGGUAGGGAUACCCGCUGAACUUAAGCAUAUCAAUAAGCGGAGGA
rnacentral:misc_RNA from 1 species